rnacentral:rRNA from 1 species
GGAGUCUGGUCCGUGUCUCAGUACCAGUGUGGGGGACCUUCCUCUCAGAACCCCUACUGAUCGUAGGCCAGGUGGGCCGUUACCCCGCCUGCAACCUAAUCAGACGCAUCCCCAUCCCAUAGCGAUGAAUCUUUACUCCAACUUAGAUGUCUGCAUUGGAGAACAUAGGGAAUUAAUCCGACUUUCGCCGGGCUGUGCCCUACUACGGGGAAGGUUGGAUACGCGUUACUCACCCGUGCGCCGGUCGCCAUCACAGAUAGCAAGCUACCUGCAUGCUGCCCCUCGACUUGCAUGUGUUAAGCCUGUAGCUAGCGUUCAUC